GACACCUUCGUAUUGAACAAACAGCAAUUGCAGUUAAAAACAAACCAAACUAAAUUCAAGAAUAUCGAUAGCCUAUCUUCUAACUCAAACACCCCAAUCACAGUUUGCAUUUCUGAGUUAAACACUGCUCUGACAACUGCCACCUCAGUCCCAAAUCCCAACCUGUUCGUCGAUACCACACACCAUCGGGUCUCUCCGUCAAAGAAGCCCACCGAGCCGUGAAUACUCGUAUUAGGUAUAUGCUGCUAUAGGAUCAAUAGCCCCCAACCAUAGUCCAUCCAUAUAGUCAAUCACAGGCCGAUUCGGCUCAUUGGCAGUAAACUGUCGUCGUCGGGAAAUGGAAGCAACUGAAGGGACGAGUUUCACCUUUCUUCUCUUUUUGUUUCGGAUGGCUUCAUUAGAAGACUGAAUUCAGGUUGAUUAGAGAAAGACUAAAUGAUGAUGGAAACGUUGCAGCUAAUGACGGUUGAUUGUGCGAGGGUAUCCAGAUCGCACAAUUGUAAUUAUGUCUAAGAAUCGCCGGUUGAUGAAAUUGAAAUGGGUACGAAUGUGGCGAACAUGGUCUUCGACACUUCCUGAAACUUCGCAGACAAGGUAACAGUCAGACAUCAUCAAUCAACGAGAAA